rnacentral:rRNA from 1 species
AAGUCGUAACAAGGUUUCCGUAGGUGAACCUGCGGAAGGAUCAUUACCGAGUGAGGGCCCUCUGGGUCCAACCUCCCCACCCGUGUUUAUUUUACCUUGUUGCUUCGGCGGGCCCGCCUUAACUGGCCGCCGGGGGGCUUACGCCCCCGGGCCCGCGCCCGCCGAAGACACCCUCGAACUCUGUCUGAAGAUUGAAGUCUGAGUGAAAAUAUAAAUUAUUUAAAACUUUCAACAACGGAUCUCUUGGUUCCGGCAUCGAUGAAGAACGCAGCGAAAUGCGAUACGUAAUGUGAAUUGCAAAUUCAGUGAAUCAUCGAGUCUUUGAACGCACAUUGCGCCCCCUGGUAUUCCGGGGGGCAUGCCUGUCCGAGCGUCAUUGCUGCCCUCAAGCCCGGCUUGUGUGUUGGGCCCCGUCCCCCGAUCUCCGGGGGACGGGCCCGAAAGGCAGCGGCGGCACCGCGUCCGGUCCUCGAGCGUAUGGGGCUUUGUCACCCGCUCUGUAGGCCCGGCCGGCGCUUGCCGAUCAACCCAAAUUUUUAUCCAGGUUGACCUCGGAUCAGGUAGGGAUACCCGCUGAACUUAA